rnacentral:rRNA from 1 species
GACGAACCGUGCGAACGUUAUUCGGAUUCACUGGGCUUAAAGGGCGCGUAGGCGGGUUCUCAAGUCGGUGGUGAAAUCUUUCGGCUCAACCGGAAAAUCGCCUCCGAUACUGGGGACCUCGAGGGGGGUAGGGGCAUGUGGAACUUCCGGUGGAGCGGUGAAAUGCGUAGAUAUCGGAAGGAACGCCGGUGGCGAAGGCGGUUCUCUGGGCAUUACCUGACGCUGAGGAGCGAAAGUGUGGGGAGCGAACAGG